AAUCAACGCUGGCGGCGUGCCUAACACAUGCAAGUCGAACGCGAAAGCCCGCAAGGGUAAGUAGAGUGGCGCACGGGUGAGUAACACGUGGACAACCUGCCUUCGAGUGGGGAAUAACCUUCCGAAAGGAGGGCUAAUACCGCAUAACACCUCGGGACACAAGUUCUGGGGUUGAAAAGAGCAAUUUGCUCGAAGAGGGGUCCGCGCCUGAUUAGCUAGUUGGUGAGGUAACGGCUCACCAAGGCUUCGAUCAGUAGCCGUCCUGAGAGGGAGCACGGCCACACUGGAACUGAGACACGGUCCAGACUCCUACGGGAGGCAGCAGUGGGGAAUUUUGGCAAUGGGCGAAAGCCUGACCAAGCAACGCCGCGUGGGUGAUGAAGUAUCUUGGUACGUAAAACCCUUUCGGCAGGGACGAACCUAAUGACGGUACCUGCGGAAGAAGCCCCGGCUAACUCCGUGCCAGCCGCCGCGGUAAC
rnacentral:rRNA from 1 species